rnacentral:lncRNA from 1 species
CCCCGCACUGUUCCAACCAGCCCGCUCUCUGCACCCGAGCAGGACCAGCCAGCAGAGGCCUAAAGCAGCCGGCCAGGCUUCAUAAUUAAUGACUUGACCACCAAGCUUCUGAAACCCUGCUGUGAAAUAGCCUAUGUGCCUUCACAGUAGCCAGACCCCACCGCUUCCGCGCCGUGUCUUCUGCAAAACACAGAGCGCUGAUGUGAGUGAACCGAACGUGAAAGAGAUGGAGGAACGUCCAGAAAAACACAGACAAAUGAGGAGAAGGCGCACAGGGCGCCAAGGAAGAAAUCCAAGGAAAUCCAGCAAGUCAAGAAAGUGCCGUGGAAAACAGUAGGGUGGUUCCUCCACAAGAAGGAAACAGACCAGCCCUAUGGGUCAUCAGCUCUGCAUUUAAGUUUCUAUCCAAAAGGAUUGAAAGCACAAAGUUUGAAGCCGAGAUCUGUAUACCUGUGUUCCCAGGAGCACUGCUCACAAUGGGUAAAAUAUGGCUGCAACCCAGUGUCCAUGGAUGAUGGAUGGAUGAUGGAUGAUGAAAGGGUGGAUGGGUAGAUGAGUGGAUGGGUGGAUGGAUGGAUAAGCAGCAUGGGGUCCAUGUGGACUACGACUCAGCCGUGAAAAGGAGUGAAGCUCUGACACAGGCUCCAACGUGGAUGGACCUUGAACCCCCGAGGCUCAGAGAGAGAAGUCAGACCUAGACGGACACACAGUGCAUGCUGCCACUUAGAAGAGGUCCCCAGACUAGUCAGACUCCUAAAGAUGGAAAGUUGGUGGGGGGAGGGUGCCGGGGCUGGGAGAGGGGGAUGGGGAGCCAGUGUUUCAAGAGGACAGAGGCUCAGUUUGGGCAGAUAGACAAGUUCUGGAGGUGAUAAUUGCGAGGACUGCCCAACAGGGAGACUGUCCUUGAUGCCACUAAAUUAUACACUUAAAAAUAGUUCAGAUGGGGGGCUCCCAUGGUGGCUCAGCAGGU